CUUUGCCUAAAGAACGAUUUGCCUAACUAAGAGAGCUUCUAGAAGUCAAGUCAACUAAAGGGUUAGAAGGGAGUGUUGGUGUGUAACCCUUCAGCCGAGACUUAGAGGCAAAGAAACAAUUCAAACCUUUAGUUUAAUAUUUGUUUCAAGUUUAAAUUAGAGUCGUUGGAUAGUCCAUGUGGCUGCUCUCACUUGUAUCUAGCUUAAGUGAUAGAUUAUAACAAGUGGCAUCAUUUCAUAAGGUGAUAGCAAUUAAGGGCUGAGAUUUAGUUUUGGCUUGAUGAGUGAAGGAUCUCCUUUCCUUUUCCAUGUAUAACGGUAACAACCUCACAUGUUUGUUGUGAGGGAAUAUCGAAAUCAAUUCCAUCAUCAUUCUCAUAAGGUGAUAGCAAUUAAGGGCUGAGAUUUAGUUUUGGCUUGAUGAGUGAAGGAUCUCCUUUCCUUUU
rnacentral:lncRNA from 1 species